rnacentral:rRNA from 1 species
AGGACGAACGCUGGCGGCGUGCUUAACACAUGCAAGUCGAACGGAAAGGCCCCUUCGGGGGUACUCGAGUGGCGAACGGGUGAGUAACACGUGGGCAACCUGCCCCUAGCUCUGGGAUAACUCCGGGAAACCGGUGCUAAUACCGGAUAUCGACCCUCGCGGGCAUCCGCGUUGGUCAAAAGUUUUUCGGCUAGGGAUGGGCCCGCGGCCUAUCAGCUUGUUGGUGGGGUAAUGGCCUACCAAGGCGACGACGGGUAGCC